UCCUAGCCUUAAAAUCMACUUCUUACUUAGCUUACNACAUGCAAGUUCUCCGCACCCCCGUGAGAAUACCCUUUUCACCCAUUCUAGGGGGUUAGGGAGUUGGAUAUCAGGCAAAAAUUMCCCAGGCCAUCUAGCCACGCCACACCCMCAAGGCCUUUCACCAGUGAUUACCUUWAAAAAUAAACGUCAGUUUGAUUWAGUUAAKGAAAUUCGGAGCCGGCCAUUCUGGUGCCAGCSGCSGSGGUUCCACCAKGAGGUUCAAGUGGAUUUUCCAGGGCGUAAAGCGUGAUUAARGAAAGCAAMCCAUGGGGGCGGAACUUAAAYUGAMCGUUGGUACUUCCGUUUUAGGAAKUCUUAUCCGGAAAGAUSCCCCAAAAUMCCAACUKGACUUCMCACCAGUKGGGACMCMAACUGGGGAUUADGUUCCCCCAUUAUGCCCAUUGGUAAACUUAAACUUACCCCCCCCUCGCCAGGGAACUACGAGCAAAGCUUAAAACCCAAAGGACUUGACGGUACCCUAUAUCCUUCUAGAGGAGCCUGUCCUAUAACCGAUACCCCCCGUUCAACCUCACCAUUUUUUGCUUUUCAGCCUGUAUACUUCCGUCGUCAGCUUACCGCAUGAGCGAGUCAAGUAAGCUAAAUGGCAUGCACCAACACGUCAGGUCAAAGUGCAGCAAAUAAAAUGGCAAGAGAUGGGCUACACUCUCUACUAUAGAAGAUACGAAAAAUAAUGUGAAAUCAUUACUAUGAAGGUGGAUUUAGCAGUAAGAAAGAAUAGAACAUCUUCCUUAACCCAGCACUGGGGUGUGUACAUACCGCCCGUCACCCUCUUCAACAGUCCCUAAUCAUAGUACUUAACAAACAACUACCUAAUAGAAGAGGCAAGUCGU
rnacentral:rRNA from 1 species